UACAGAGGUCCCAAGCGUUGUUCGGAUUCAUUGGGCGUAAAGGGUGCGUAGGCGGCGCGGUAAGUCGGGUGUGAAAUCUCGGAGCUUAACUCCGAAACUGCAUUCGAUACUGCCGUGCUUGAGGACUGGAGAGGAGACUGGAAUUUACGGUGUAGCGGUGAAAUGCGUAGAUAUCGUAAGGAACGUCGGUGGCGAAAGCGGCGCGCUGGACCUCUUCUGACGCUGAGGCGCGAAAGCCAGGGGAGCGAACGGG
rnacentral:rRNA from 1 species